CAGUCGAACGGUAACAGGGAGCUUGCUCCGCUGACGAGUGGCGAACGGGUGUGUAAUAUAUCGGAACGUACCCAGAAGUGGGGGAUAACGUAGCGAAAGUUACGCUAAUACCGCAUACGAUCCACGGAUGAAAGUAGGGGACCUUCGGGCCUUAUGCUUUUGGAGCGGCCGAUAUCUGAUUAGCUAGUUGGUGAGGUAAAGGCUCACCAAGGCGACGAUCAGUAGCUGGUCUGAGAGGACGACCAGCCACACUGGAACUGAGACACGGUCCAGACUCCUACGGGAGGCAGCAGUGGGGAAUUUUGGACAAUGGGCGCAAGCCUGAUCCAGCAAUGCCGCGUGAGUGAAGAAGGCCUUCGGGUUGUAAAGCUCUUUUGUCAGGGAAGAAACGGCUGUGGCUAAUAUCCACGGCUAAUGACGGUACCUGAAGAAUAAGCACCGGCUAACUACGUGCCAGCAGCCGCGGUAAUACGUAGGGUGCAAGCGUUAAUCGGAAUUACUGGGCGUAAAGCGUGCGCAGGCGGUUUUGUAAGUCUGACGUGAAAUCCCCGGGCUCAACCUGGGAAUUGCGUUGGAGACUGCAAGGCUAGAAUCUGGCAGAGGGGGGUAGAAUUCCACGUGUAGCAGUGAAAUGCGUAGAGAUGUGGAGGAACACCGAUGGCGAAGGCAGCCCCCUGGGUCAAGAUUGACGCUCAUGCACGAAAGCGUGGGGAGCAAACAGGAUUAGAUACCCUGGUAGUCCACGCCCUAAACGAUGUCUACUAGUUGUCGGGUUUUAAUUAACUUGGUAACGCAGCUAACGCGUGAAGUAGACCGCCUGGGGAGUACGGUCGCAAGAUUAAAACUCAAAGGAAUUGACGGGGACCCGCACAAGCGGUGGAUGAUGUGGAUUAAUUCGAUGCAACGCGAAAAACCUUACCUACCCUUGACAUGUCCGGAAUGCCGAAGAGAUUUGGCAGUGCUCGAAAGAGAACCGUAACACAGGUGCUGCAUGGCUGUCGUCAGCUCGUGUCGUGAGAUGUUGGGUUAAGUCCCGCAACGAGCGCAACCCUUGUCAUUAGUUGCUACAUUCAGUUGAGCACUCUAAUGAGACUGCCGGUGACAAACCGGAGGAAGGUGGGGAUGACGUCAAGUCCUCAUGGCCCUUAUGGGUAGGGCUUCACACGUCAUACAAUGGUACAUACAGAGGGCCGCCAACCCGCGAGGGGGAGCUAAUCCCAGAAAGUGUAUCGUAGUCCGGAUCGUAGUCUGCAACUCGACUACGUGAAGUUGGAAUCGCUAGUAAUCGCGGAUCAGCAUGCCGCGGUGAAUACGUUCCCGGGUCUUGUACACACCGCCCGUCACACCAUGGGAGCGGGUUUUACCAGAAGUAGGUAGCUUAACCGCAAGGAGGGC
rnacentral:rRNA from 1 species